rnacentral:tRNA from 2 species
GCACCCGUAGCUCAGCUGGAUAGAGCGUUGGCCUCCGGAGCCAAAGGUCGGACGUUCAAAUCGUCUCGGGUGCGCCA